UACGUAGGAGGCGAGCGUUGUCCGGAGUUACUGGGCGUAAAGGGUGCGCAGGCGGCGUCACGCGUGGCUAGAUGAAAUCUCCUGGCUUACCUGGGAGGGUGGUAGCCAGACGGUGGCGCUUGAGGGUCGGAGAGGGGCGUGGAAUUCCGGGUGGAGCGGUGAAAUGCGUAGAUAUCUGGAGGAACACCGGUGGCGAAGGCGGCAUCCUGGACCGAUACUGACGCUGAGGAGCGAAAGCCAGGGGAGCAAACGGG
rnacentral:rRNA from 1 species